rnacentral:rRNA from 1 species
AUAUCAUAGCGGAGGAAAGAAACCAACAGGGAUUGCCCUAGUAACGGCGAGUGAAGCGGCAACAGCUCAAAUUUGAAAUCUGGCGUCUUUGGCGUCCGAGUUGUAAUUUGCAGAGGGCGCUUUGGCAUUGGCAGCGGUCCAAGUUCCUUGGAACAGGACGUCACAGAGGGUGAGAAUCCCGUACGUGGUCGCUAGCCUUUACCGUGUAAAGCCCCUUCGACGAGUCGAGUUGUUUGGGAAUGCAGCUCUAAAUGGGAGGUAAAUUUCUUCUAAAGCUAAAUACUGGCCAGAGACCGAUAGCGCACAAGUAGAGUGAUCGAAAGAUGAAAAGCACUUUGGAAAGAGAGUUAAAAAGCACGUGAAAUUGUUGAAAGGGAAGCGCUUGCAGCCAGACUUGCCUGUAGUUGCUCAUCCGGGUUUUUACCCGGUGCACUCUUCUAUAGGCAGGCCAGCAUCAGUUUGGGCGGUUGGAUAAAGGUCUCUGUCAUGUAACUCUCUUCGGGGAGAACUUAUAGGGGAGACGACAUGCAACCAGCCUGGACUGAGGUCCGCGCAUCUGCUAGGAUGCUGGCGUAAUGGCUGUAAGCGGCCCGUCUUGAAACACGGACCAAGGAGUCUAACAUCUAUGCGAGUGUUUGGGUGUCAAGCCCGAGCGCGUAAUGAAAGUGAACGGAGGUGGGAACCUUUCGGGGUGCACCAUCGACCGAUCCUGAUGUCUUCGGAUGGAUUUGAGUAAGAGCAUAGCUGUUGGGACCCGAAAGAUGGUGAACUAUGCUUGAAUAGGGUGAAGCCAGAGGAAACUCUGGUGGAGGCUCGCAGCGGUUCUGACGUGCAAAUCGAUCGUCAAAUUUGGGCAUAGGGGCGAAAGACUAAUCGAACAUCU